rnacentral:rRNA from 1 species
AUUGAACGCUGGCGGCAGGCCUAACACAUGCAAGUCGAACGGUAACAGGAAGAAGCUUGCUUCUUUGCUGACGAGUGGCGGACGGGUGAGUAAUGUCUGGGAAACUGCCUGAUGGAGGGGGAUAACUACUGGAAACGGUAGCUAAUACCGCAUAAUGUCGCAAGACCAAAGAGGGGGACCUUCGGGCCUCUUGCCAUCGGAUGUGCCCAGAUGGGAUUAGCUAGUAGGUGUGGUAACGGCUCACCUAGGCGACGAUCCCUAGCUGGUCUGAGAGGAUGACCGGCCACACUGGAACUGAGACACGGUCCAGACUCCUACGGGAGGCAGCAGUAGGGAAUAUUGCGCAAUGGGCGAAAGCCUGAUGGAGCAAUGCCGCGUGAAUGAAGAAGGUCUUCGGAUCGUAAAGCACUGUUAGUAGGGAGGAACAAAGGAGAAAGUAAAUAUGCACGUAUUGACGGUACCUAAAGAGAAAGCAACGGCUAACUACGUG